GACGUAGGGUGCGAGCGUUGUCCGGAUUUAUUGGGCGUAAAGAGCUCGUAGGCGGCUCGUCGCGUCGACCGUGAAAACCCGCGGCUUAACUGCGGGCUUGCGGUUGAUACGGGCGGGCUAGAGUUCGGUAGGGGAGACUGGAAUUCCUGGCGUAGCGGUGAAAUGCGCAGAUAUCAGGAGGAACACCGGUGGCGAAGGCGGGUCUCUGGGCCGAUACUGACGCUGAGGAGCGAAAGCGUGGGGAGCGAACAGG
rnacentral:rRNA from 1 species